rnacentral:rRNA from 1 species
AAUCAACGCUGGCGGCGUGCCUAACACAUGCAAGUCGAACGCGAAAGCCCCGCAAGGGGCAAGUAGAGUGGCAAACGGGUGAGUAACACGUGGGUGACCUGCCUUCGAGCGGGGGAUAACGUCCCGAAAGGGACGCUAAUACCGCAUAACAUCCUGCCUUUGAAGAGGUGGAGAUCAAAGCGUGGGGAUCGCAAGACCCGGCACUUGAAGGAGGGGCCCGCGCCUGAUUAGCAGGUUGGUGGGGUAAUGGCCUACCAAGGCAACGAUCAGUAUCCGGCCUGAGAGGGCGGACGGACACACUGGGACUGAGACACGG